rnacentral:tRNA from 1 species
AAACUUAGGAUAACCUGCCCCAAAACCGAAG